rnacentral:rRNA from 1 species
AUUGAACGCUGGCGGCGUGCUUAACACAUGCAAGUCGAACGCGAAAGGGGCUUCGGCCCUGAGUAAAGUGGCGCACGGGUGAGUAACGCGUGGAUAAUCUGCCCUUAUGAUCGGGAUAACAGUUGGAAACGGCUGCUAAUACCGGAUACGCUCAAAAUGAACUUUUUGAGGAAAGAUGGCCUCUGCUUGCAUGCUAUCGCAUAGGGAUGAGUCCGCGUCCCAUUAGCUUGUUGGCGGGGUAACGGCCCACCAAGGCAACGAUGGGUAGCCGAUUUGAGAGGAUGAUCGGCCACACUGGAACUGAAACACGGUCCAGACUCCUACGGGAGGCAGCAGUGGGGAAUAUUGCGCAAUGGGCGAAAGCCUGACGCAGCGACGCCGCGUGAGGGAUGAAAAGGUUUUCGGAUCGUAAACCUCUGUCAGAAGGGAAGAAACUACGUUGUGCUAAUCAGCAGCGUACUGACGGUACCUUCAAAGGAAGCACCGGCUAACUCCGUGCCAGCAGCUGC